UGCUUGGUCACUGAAAUUUGAAGUUGUCUGACAACUUCAAAUUUCCCAAAAAUAAAUGAAAUAAAAUUUAGAGAUGUUUAAAAUAUGUGGAUAUAAAGGCUUCAGAACUUUUACUGCAUGAAUAUUAGACAGCAAUUUACAGGAACCUUAAUUAGUGCACCACACAUGGAUGUAUAAUGCAACUGUUAGUAUGUAUUGUGUUAUAUGUCAUUUGCACAUGUAAGUUUCAGUUGAUUUGAUAGCUAUAUUCUUUCAUCAUUUCAUGAGCAAUAAAAUUUUUCAGAACAUUAUGGCUUACAG
rnacentral:misc_RNA from 1 species